rnacentral:rRNA from 1 species
GUCUUUUUGAAUUUAAUUUAAAGUCUAACCUGCCCACUGAAAAUUUUUAAAUGGCCGCAGUAUUCUAACUGUGCAAAGGUAGCAUAAUCAUUAGUCUUUUAAUUGAAGGCUGGAAUGAAUGGUUGGACGAAAUAUUAACUGUUUCAUUUAAAUUUUUUAUAGAAUUUUAUUUUUUAGUCAAAAAGCUAAAAUAAAAUUAAAAGACGAGAAGACCCUAUAAAUCUUUAUAUUUUAUUUUAUUUUAAUUAUAAAGAUUAAUUUUAUUAUAAUAAAAUAAAAUAUUUUAUUGGGGUGAUAUUAAAAUUUAAAAAACUUUUAAUUUUUAAAACCAUUAAUUUAUGAAUAAUUGAUCCAUUAAUAAUGAUUAAAAAUUUAAGUUACUUUAGGGAUAACAGCGUAAUUUUUUUGGAGAGUUCAUAUCGAUAAAAAAGAUUGCGACCUCGAUGUUGGAUUAAGAUAUAAUUUUGGGUGUAGCCGUUCAAAUUUUAAGUCUGUUCGACUUUUAAAUUCUU